rnacentral:rRNA from 1 species
UACGUAGGGGGCAAGCGUUGUCCGGAAUCAUUGGGCGUAAAGAGCGCGUAGGCGGCCCAGUAAGUCCGCUCUGAAAGUCAGGGGCUCAACCCCUGGAUGCGGGUGGAUACUGCUGGGCUAGAGUCCGGAAGAGGCGAGUGGAAUUCCUGGUGUAGCGGUGAAAUGCGCAGAUAUCAGGAGGAACACCGAUGGCGGAAGGCAG